GAAAUAAAAAGAAUAUAAUAAAGCUACUAACUUUAUUUUUAGUGGUUAAAUUCCAUUAUUAUUUCU
rnacentral:tRNA from 1 species